UGGGGAAUCUUAGACAAUGGGGGAAACCCUGAUCUAGCCAUGCCGCGUGAACGAUGAAGGCCCUAGGGUUGUAAAGUUCUUUCAGCGGGGAAGAUAAUGACGGUACCCGCAGAAGAAGCCCCGGCUAACUCCGUGCCAGCAGCCGCGGUAAUACGGAGGGGGCUAGCGUUGUUCGGAAUUACUGGGCGUAAAGCGCACGUAGGCGGAUCAGUCAGUCAGGGGUGAAAUCCCGGGGCUCAACCCCGGAACUGCCUUUGAUACUGCUGGUCUGGAGUCCGAGAGAGGUGAGUGGAAUUCCGAGUGUAGAGGUGAAAUUCGUAGAUAUUCGGAGGAACACCAGUGGCGAAGGCGGCUCACUGGCUCGGUACUGACGCUGAGGUGCGAAAGCGUGGGGAGCAAACAGGAUUAGAUACCCCCGUAGUCC
rnacentral:rRNA from 1 species